UACAGAGGUGGCAAGCGUUGUUCGGAAUUACUGGGCGUAAAGGGCGCGUAGGCGGCCUUCUAAGUCAGACGUGAAAUCCCCCGGCUUAACCUGGGAACUGCGUCUGAUACUGGAAGGCUUGAGUGCGGGAGAGGGAUGUGGAAUUCCAGGUGUAGCGGUGAAAUGCGUAGAUAUCUGAAGGAACAUCAGUGGCGAAAGCGACUUCCUGGACCAGAACUGACGAUCAGGCACGAAAGCGUGGGGAGCAAACAGG
rnacentral:rRNA from 1 species